GACGAACGCUGGCGGCGUGCUUAACACAUGCAAGUCGAACGGAAAGACCCUGCUUUUGUGGGGUGCUCGAGUGGCGAACGGGUGAGUAACACGUGAGUAACCUGCCCUUGACUUUGGGAUAACUUCAGGAAACUGGGGCUAAUGCCGGAUAGGAGCUCCUGCUGCAUGGUGGGGGUUGGAAAGUUUCGGCGGUUGGGGAUGGACUCGCGGCUUAUCAGCUUGUUGGUGGGGUAGUGGCUUACCAAGGCUUUGACGGGUAGCCGGCCUGAGAGGGUGACCGGCCACAUUGGGACUGAGAUACGGCCCAGACUCCUACGGGAGGCAGCAGUGGGGAAUAUUGCACAAUGGGCGGAAGCCUGAUGCAGCAACGCCGCGUGCGGGAUGACGGCCUUCGGGUUGUAAAACGCUUUCGCCUGUGACGAAGCGUGAGUGACGGUAAUGGGUAAAGAAGCACCGGCUAACUACGUG
rnacentral:rRNA from 1 species